CCCUUAGACGUUCUGGGCCGCACGCGCGCUACACUGACCAGUGCAACAAGCAUCCGUCCUUGGCCGACAGGCCCGGGCAAUCUUUGAACGCUGGUCGUGAUGGGGAUAGACUUUUGCAAUUAUGGGUCUUCAACGAGGAAUUCCUAGUAAACGCAAGUCAUCAGCUUGCAUUGAUUACGUCCCUGCCCUUUGUACACACCGCCCGUCGCACCUACCGAUUGAAUGGUCCGGUGAAAUCUCGGGACGGCGGCUUGGUCGCUUGCGUCCGACUGCUGAAACUUGAUUAAACCAUAUCAUUUAGAGGAAGGUGAANUCGUAACA
rnacentral:rRNA from 1 species